rnacentral:rRNA from 1 species
GAUGAACUCUGGCGGCGUGCCUAAUACAUGCAAGUCGAACGCUUCGCUUCGGUGAAGAGUGGCGAACGGGUGAGUAAUACAUAAGUAACCUGGCAUCUACGGGGGGAUAACUGAUGGAAACGUCAGCUAAGACCGCAUAGGUGUAGAGAUCGCAUGAACUCUAUAUGAAAAGUGCUACGGGACUGGUAGAUGAUGGACUUAUGGCGCAUUAGCUUGUUGGUAGGGUAACGGCCUACCAAGGCGACGAUGCGUAGCCGACCUGAGAGGGUGACCGGCCACACUGGGACUGAGACACGGCCCAGACUCCUACGGGAGGCAGCAGUAGGGAAUUUUCGGCAAUGGGGGAAACCCUGACCGAGCAACGCCGCGUGAAGGAAGAAGUAAUUCGUUAUGUAAACUUCUGUCAUAGAGGAAGAACGGUGGAUAUAGGGAAUGAUAUCCAAGUGACGGUACUCUAUAAGAAAGCCACGGCUAACUACGUGCCAGCAGCCGCGGUAAUACGUAGGUGGCGAGCGUUAUCCGGAAUUAUUGGGCGUAAAGAGGGAGCAGGCGGCACUAAGGGUCUGUGGUGAAAGAUCGAAGCUUAACUUCGGUAAGCCAUGGAAACCGUAGAGCUAGAGUGUGUGAGAGGAUCGUGGAAUUCCAUGUGUAGCGGUGAAAUGCGUAGAUAUAUGGAGGAACACCAGUGGCGAAGGCGACGAUCUGGCGCAUAACUGACGCUCAGUCCCGAAAGCGUGGGGAGCAAAUAGGAUUAGAUACCCUAGUAGUCCACGCCGU